CGACCGCUGGCGGCGUGCCUACUACAUGCAAGUAGACCGCUGAAGAGAGGAGCUUGCUCUUCUUGGAUGAGUUGCGAACGGGUGAGUAACGCGUAGGUAACCUGCCUUGUAGCGGGGGAUAACUAUUGGAAACGAUAGCUAAUACCGCAUAACAAUGGAUGACACAUGUCAUUUAUUUGAAAGGGGCAAUUGCUCCACUACAAGAUGGACCUGCGUUGUAUUAGCUAGUAGGUGAGGUAAUGGCUCACCUAGGCGACGAUACAUAGCCGACCUGAGAGGGUGAUCGGCCACACUGGGACUGAGACACGGCCCAGACUCCUACGGGAGGCAGCAGUAGGGAAUCUUCGGCAAUGGGGGCAACCCUGACCGAGCAACGCCGCGUGAGUGAAGAAGGUUUUCGGAUCGUAAAGUUCUGUUGUAAGUCAAGAACGGGUGUGAGAGUGGAAAGUUCACACUGUGACGGUAGCUUACCAGAAAGGGACGGCUAACUACGUG
rnacentral:rRNA from 1 species